GCGCGCUCCCUACGUCACUGACCCGUGGGACCUUCUCCCAUGCCUCACUGAUGUGUGGGACCUCUAGGUCAGGGUCAUCUUCCCCAUUGGCGCGUACACAGCAGAUCCGAGCCUCGUUUGAGCUCAGAGUUUGUUAAGAUUUCGCUAGAUUUAUCACCGCAACAACCCAAGCAUCUCUAUUUAUAUGCGUCCACCUAGGAUUCCUCGUUUUAUCUAACCCUAGCCACAACACCGAGAGAUUCGAACUGUAGUGGAGGCGAAGAGAGGGAAGCCGUGACCACCAUGGUCGAUUCGUGGACAAGCCUGCGUCGGAGCCUCAAUUGAUUACUAGGGAAACUUCCUUGGCGUAUGCAAAAGCGGAUAGUGUAGGUUGGCGGGUGCAGGUCUGACCGGAUGUGGGUGAAUUGAUCGCCGGAGAUAGGGCUCUGCCAUGGAUCCGCCAAGCCGCGUGGGCAGCCAUCCUCGCAAGCUUAAUAGACGUUCUCUUGUGCAGGAGAACGAAGUAGACAACUGCUGCUCCUAUUUUACUACGGAGAUUCAGACAGGUGAAGUAUACCAGCAGUGAGAAGUUUUUGAAUAUGUAUCUGAUGGCCUUCUCUCGAUCAAGUAAGAUGUUUUCAGUUUUGGGGUCCUCCUUGAGAUUAUAAGUGGAAAGAGGAGCUCAGGUUUUCAGCACAAUGGAGAGUUCUACGACCUUCUUGAAUAUGUAAGCAACCAAGGACUCGACAAUCUGUAGAAUUGGUAAAACUGAUAUGUUUUCCCUUAUAACAAGAUUGCAUUAUACUAACAGAUCACUUAGUAUUGACGGUGUAUCUGUAUGGUGUUCUACAUUAUUUCUUUCCAUGAAGUAUAGGGUGGUUUCCUGUACCUCCCUGUUUUAUUGA